rfam:Gossypium arboreum cultivar AKA8401 contig_3_11, whole genome shotgun sequence.
UAUUAAAAAUGUCAUCUAUUUCUACGGUUAAAAAUUGGCACAUUGACUUAAUAACCAAACAGUUACAUGUAACAUGCCACGUAUAUGUCAUUUUGACGUACAAUGAUCAAUUUUUAACAGUAGAAACGGAUGAACUUUUUAACA